rnacentral:lncRNA from 1 species
UUCAACCAGAUCAAGGCAGAGAUCGAGCGGAAGCUGGCAGAGAAGGACGAGGAGAUGGAACAGGCCAAGCGCAACCACCUGCGGGUGGUGGACUCGCUGCAGACCUCCCUGGACGCAGAGACACGCAGCCGCAACGAGGCCCUGAGGGUGAAGAAGAAGAUGGAAGGAGACCUCAAUGAGAUGGAGAUCCAGCUCAGCCACGCCAACCGCAUGGCCGCCGAGGCCCAGAAGCAAGUCAAGAGCCUCCAGAGCUUGUUGAAGGACACCCAGAUUCAGCUGGACGAUGCAGUCCGUGCCAACGACGACCUGAAGGAGAACAUCGCCAUCGUGGAGCGGCGCAACAACCUGCUGCAGGCUGAGCUGGAGGAGUUGCGUGCCGUGGUGGAGCAGACAGAGCGGUCCCGGAAGCUGGCGGAGCAGGAGCUGAUUGAGACUAGUGAGCGGGUGCAGCUGCUGCAUUCCCAGAACACCAGCCUCAUCAACCAGAAGAAGAAGAUGGAUGCUGACCUGUCCCAGCUCCAGACUGAAGUGGAGGAGGCAGUGCAGGAGUGCAGGAAUGCUGAGGAGAAGGCCAAGAAGGCCAUCACGGAUGCCGCCAUGAUGGCAGAGGAGCUGAAGAAGGAGCAGGACACCAAAGCGCAACGCAGAGUCGGUGAAGGGCAUGAGGAAGAGCGAGCGGCGCAUCAAGGAGCUCACCUACCAGACGGAGGAGGACAGGAAAAACCUGCUGCGGCUGCAGGACCUGGUAGACAAGCUGCAGCUAAAGGUCAAGGCCUACAAGCGCCAGGCCGAGGAGGCGGAGGAGCAAGCCAACACCAACCUGUCCAAGUUCCGCAAGGUGCAGCACGAGCUGGAUGAGGCAGAGGAGCGGGCGGACAUCGCCGAGUCCCAGGUCAACAAGCUGCGGGCCAAGAGCCGUGACAUUGGCACGAAGGGCUUGAAUGAGGAGUAGCUUUGCCACAUCUUGAUCUGCUCAGCCCUGGAGGUGCCAGCAAAGCCCCAUGCUGGAGCCUGUGUAACAGCUCCUUGGGAGGAAGCAGAAUAAAGCAAUUUUCCUUGAAGCC